UACGUAGGGGGCAAGCGUUGUCCGGAAUUAUUGGGCGUAAAGAGCUCGUAGGCGGUCUGUUGCGUCUGCUGUGAAAACCCGGGGCUUAACCCCUGGCUUGCAGUGGAUACGGACAGACUAGAGGUAGGUAGGGGAGAAUGGAAUUCCCGGUGUAGCGGUGAAAUGCGCAGAUAUCGGGAGGAACACCGGUGGCGAAGGCGGUUCUCUGGGCCUUACCUGACGCUGAGGAGCGAAAGCGUGGGGAGCGAACAGG
rnacentral:rRNA from 1 species